AAAUUUAACACCAAUGAAUUUGCUGUGUAUACUUGGAUCGAUACAGAGAAGAUUAGCAUGGCCCCUGUGAAAAGGA
rnacentral:snRNA from 1 species